rnacentral:rRNA from 1 species
GAUGAACGCUAGCUACAGGCUUAACACAUGCAAGUCGAGGGACCGGCGCACGGGUGAGUAACACGUAUCCAACCUGCCCUUUACUCGGGGAUAGCCUUUCGAAAGAAAGAUUAAUACCCGAUAUAAUGGACGGGGAUGCGUUCCAUUAGGUUGUUGGUGAGGUAACGGCUAACCAAGCCUUCGAUGGAUAGGGGUUCGGAGAGGAAGUACCCCCACGUUGGAACUGAGGACCGGUCCAAACUCCUAGGGGAGGCAGCGGUGAGGAAUAUUGGUCAAUGGACGCUAGCCUGAACCAGCCAAGUAGCGUGAGGGAUGAAGGCUUUUGGGUCGUAAACUUCUUUUAAAUAAGAAUAUGUAUUAUAUGAAUAAGGAUCGGCUAACUCCGUGCCAGUAGCCGCGGUAAUUC